rnacentral:rRNA from 1 species
UACGUAGGGGGCAAGCGUUAUCCGGAAUUACUGGGUGUAAAGGGUGAGUAGGCGGCAUGACAAGUAAGAUGUGAAAGCCCGUGGCUUAACCACGGGAUUGCAUUUUAAACUGUUGAGCUAGAGUACAGGAGAGGAAAGCGGAAUUCCCAGUGUAGCGGUGAAAUGCGUAGAUAUUGGGAAGAACACCAGUGGCGAAGGCGGCUUUCUGGACUGAAACCGACGCUGAGGCACGAAAGCGUGGGGAGCAAACAGG